rnacentral:lncRNA from 1 species
AUGGUAAAGAAAGCAGAGGAUGUGGGAGAGAUUAGAAAAGAAGGAAUGCAAAUGAGUGACAACAGAAUAAGACUGACAAGUACAAAGCAACAAGAGGACCCUCACCAGAAUGCAGUCUGCCAGCACUUUGAUCUUGGACUUCCUUGUAUCCAGGACUGUGAGAAAUCAUUGUUCAUUGUUUACAUCUCCCAGUCUAUAGUAAUUGUUAUAGCAGCCCGAACUAAGACAGCACUGUUCUAGAUAUUUGGAUAAGCAAGUAAACAACACUGUCAAAGAUAGCUGUUCUUAUGCAGCUACAUUCUGCAGAGAGGCAGGUGGCAAUCAUUCAACCUAGUAAAAUGAAUAAUACAGGUAUUUCUUAGAAAAUAUGCGCUAUGAGGAAAAAUAGGGAAAACGUGAAAACACGUAAGGUUAGAAAGGACUGGGAGGGCAGGAGGAGAGGGCUGGAGGCUUGCACUAUUUCAUAGAGAAGUACAGGGUAGACCUCUGAAGUUGAAGUCUGAGCAAGUGAGUUUUUAGUUGAAGUGAGUUGAAGUCUGAGUGAAGACAGAAGAGGUGAGGCAAGUGAGCUUCCAGAGAUGAAAGGACCACACAAGUAUCAUGUGCCUGAGCAACAAUGGUAGGGAGGACAUUGUGAGGGAGGGAGAGAUAAGGGCAUCUGAGAGGCUGCCUGCAAAUAAAUACCCCAAUGCCCCGUAGCUGCAAUGUGAACUUUCCUUGUAAGUAUGAAAGAAAUGGAGAGAAACUGCAGUGUUUCGAGCAGAGGAGGAGGAUGGAACAAGUUUUCAUUUCCCCAAUGAAAUAGGGGGCAUCCUGUCUGACAACAGCUUUGGAGUCAAGCAACUCUACUGCUUAUCAACUUGAAUAAUCAGUGUUGAAUUCUUUAAUCCCCAUCAAAUGAGCAUAAUACUAUGAACACCACAUUGGAUGAGCUGUUAAGAUAAAUGAGAUAAUGCAACCAAAGAAUUCUGUACUGUGACUGGAACAUUAUAACUAUUCAAUAAAUUAUCUCUUACCUUGUUACUUCUAAUAAAUGUUUUGUCCAAAAAUGAGUACAGC